UUUUCAUUUAAAACAGCAGUAACAGCAAUGGUUUGGUUAGUAGCCACAUGUAAAAUGAAAAUCAGCAUUAAAUGCCAUGAACCAAAAUUUUCAAAAAUCAGUGUAUGAAUAUAGGUUCCUAAUUAAUAAGUGAACCCAUAAUUCUCACUGAAAAAGUUACUGCAGGAAAAAUUAGACCACUUUUAUUUAGAUGCUUCACAUAUGGAAUUAGCAGCAUGGAGUUGUACAUGGAAUUUUAAUUUUUGGCCCAUGUACAGUGCCAAUGACCUCCAUUCCCUUCAAAUGCACCUUCCUCCCAAACUGGUCUCCUAUACAAUGGAAUGAUUUUCAGACAUUUUAUCACAGUUAGAGCCAAUGAAAAGAUCUAGUUUUUAAUUCUAUUUGUUUCAGUAGUCUGGGCCUAUACAUACUGUACUUGCCAAAGAGCCAUGGAUUUGAUGCUGAUUAUUUUAAAUGUUUUUUUGCCAUGAAAUUCAGUAGGUAGGGAUAGUCAUAAAUCAGCAAGUAAAGCCCAGUUCUGAAAACCCUUUCUUAGGUGAGUAGUCGCUAACUCAUUUAAGUAGUCGUAUUGACAUUAAACAGCUUGCACAAAUAAGGACUACUUAGGUAAGGGUUUGCAGGAACAAGACCUAUUUUUUAUGGUAGAUCAUGCAUCUAUAAAGAUCAUUAGCUAUUUCUAAGGACACACGCACACACAUACACAGAUGCAUAACAUGCCUAAACACUGCACUUUUUAAUACAAUACAUAUAUGUAUGCAUCCUUUGCAUCAUGUAAUAACUUGUAAAACAGAAUAAUCACCUCCGUUUUUUUUUCUUUAAAAACACAGCAUAACUACUUUGUGGGAUUUGGCAUCAACAUUAGAAAAGGUAACUGUUUCCAGAGAACUAAGGGAAUUAGAGUAUACAAAAAUUAUUCAGUCAGCCCUCCACAACUACUAAUCCAGUUUUCUCCCCUGCAGUCUGUUUUGUUCAGCUUAGUUUUAAAUGUCUCAAGUGAACAGAUUUCCACUACUUUCCUUUGGAGAUUAUUUUUCAUUCUAAUCAAUUUCAGUUUCAGGAAGUUUCUUAACAUCCAGUCCAGAUUUUCCUUUGAAUCAUCUGGUUACUACUUGUUAUACACACUUAAGACACUGCUAAUAUUUUCUCUGUCUGCUAAAUGAAACUGAAAGGACAGAAUGUUUGAACUGUUAUUUAAGACAAUCCCCAAAAUGUAUUUUAAAUCCAAUGACGGUGGUCUAAAAGAACAACUCUUACCACUAUAUUACUAUGUGGCAUCGCUAUACUAUUGUGAUUUGGGUAUUAUAAAUAUACAGAAGCAAAAUAUCUAGUUAAAUUUAUUUGAAAAGGAGAUUUCCCACAUAGUUUGGCAAUGGAACCAAUAUGAAAAAGGUGAAUUUGGGAACCUAGUGGACCAGAGUGUUUGCAGAUUUAGAAAUGUUAUGAGUCCAGCAGAACAUUGAAUUGGAAAAAAAGGAUACAGUAUCUCUGGACACCACUACCUCUAAAGAAUCAUGUUACAUUUCAGCUUUUUUCCCCCCCAAUAAGUAGUUACAAUACUGCAACUCCAUAGUGUGAGCACUGACUAUGAGAUAUGCAGUAGCUACUAUUGCUUGGUAAUAAAAACAGGCAUCUCAAAAGAAGGAAAAGUCUUUUGGAUUUAGAACACUAAUUUAAUAUGUAGUAUUUUCAAAAAUCGAUGUGUGUUAGCAGCAUUGUCACAUUAAAGUUUUAUUUCCAUUCUACAGAUGGGAAAACUGAGGAAGAAAGUGUCUUCACUAAAGAUAUGGUGGAUGCCACAAUCAGAUUAUGAAACCAGAGGUGACAUCAUGGCUCUAUUGAAAACACACACUGGACUCUAUGAAAAAGGAUCUAAUUGAUGAAUAUAAAAGAAGCUUCAAGUGAUUCAGCUGUUUCCAUUCAGAUCUUCUCUGGAAGAAGCAGAGCCACAGAACAACAGGGAUAGGAAGAGGCAGGUGGGUGGACAUUAAGACCCAGUGGUGCUCCAAAUUCUGGGGUGCUCUAUGCAGCUACAUAUUCUGAAUAUGGGUACACACAGCCCUGAAAAGAAAAGUGAGGCGGCUGAAGGAAACUUAAAAGAGCUACGUACGUGAAAGAUGACUUCAAAAUAAAUGUUCAUGUAUAUGCAUGUGAACAUAUGUAUAUGAGGUGGAAUGGAAUAAAAAAGUAAUUUCAGCGCCCUGAUAUUUCUUUGCAUAUUGUCCCAUGAAACUAUCACAUUCAAUCUAGAACACCCUGCAUGCGCACAUGUACAUGCAUAAAAAUGCAUGUAGGAGACAGAGAAGGACAAGUGUUUUAAACAAUACGCAACUUACCCACGCAAGAGCGUGAUCCUCCUCUGACUUACAUUAGAGUAAAUCAUUAAUGACUAGUUUAAGUCAUGGGGUUUCAAUGGAACAAAAGUGAACUCAGGAGAAGGAUGCUCAUGUCUCCAGCCUUAAAUCCGUUAGUAUGCACUAGUGAAUACCUGUGUAGUCGUAGCAAGCAUGCAUUUGUAAGUGUUUCUCUUCAGUCCUAGGUCUGUUGAAGCACUUCCCCAUGAAAGCUAUAUCUAUUGAGAGGAACAGGUUUGGAACAGUAUCUCCACUAGCAGCAAUCACAAAAUAGUCAAUAUUAUUUUCUGACAUGCUGUGAAGAGAAUAAAAAUUCCAUUCUUUAUCCAUGAUAAAAGACAAUUCCUAUACCAAGACCGGUACAGAAAAAUAUCCAGAAACACACUGCCACCAACAGGUCUAAAUCCUUGAACAGUCAACAUAAAAAAAUAAAUAAGUGGGGCACAUCAUUAUGUUACAUUAAUACACAUAACAAGGAGAUGCAGCCCUAUUUACAAGGAGUCCUUCAUAUUUCUGUAUAAAUACAAGAGGAGAUAUGCUUGGGAGAGUAGUCCCUUUGAAUUCAUGACUUUUUUUUUGCAAUUAAAAUCUCAAUUAGUGAAUUACAGUAAAGUAGCUACUGGGGUACUGUUUCAUGUAGCAGAAUACAAGAUUUUUGUUUUUUUGUUUUUUUACAAUUUUAUACUUAAAUAUGUAGCUUUAUAGACAGAAAGGCUAUAAUACAAAAUUAGACAGAAAAACUCCUUCUCAUUUUUUAAAACUAGAAUAAAGCAUCACAUGCAAGCUUACGCCAAAAUGGUUCAGAUGAAAGCGUGACUCAUAGUAAGGCAUACAAGGGAACCAGGAAACUCUAUGUCCAAAUAGUGAAUCUAAUCUGUCUGUAAGAGUAAUUCUAAGUGAAUUAUCACAGUGUGAAAACGGUACCUUUUUCCAUUCAUAAAAAGGGCCCUACUCGACCCCAUGUCAGUAUCAAGGGCAGGCUACAAUCUUAAAGGAAUUUAUCAAGAUUAAGUAGUAUUUAAUCCCACAGUCUAAAAAGAACCAUUCAGAAAAAGGAAGGAAGGGGUGGAGUAUGACUCUAAUGCCACAAUCUGAGAUCAUUUAAAAAAGCCAAGUACAUAGUUUCCACACUAAAACAGAGAAGGAACAUUUUUGUGGACUCUAAAAUAUUGCAAAAUCUUUUCUCUCCUUUAUUUUUGUAAACAAGUCACCAAAGUGCAUUUAGAAUUAUAAUGGCUGCAAAUGGUGUAAUGUUUCAUGUAAUCAGUAGAUUUAAUUGCACUCCUAAAAAGUUAUUUCUAGUUUGAAAGUAAAAAUAAAAAUAAAUCCAUCCUCAAUAAAAACAACAAUGAAACGCAUAUUGCUCCCAGCUUUUAAGAGACCUCUCAGUCAACCUGCCUCUUCAGCUUGCAGGAUUUGUUUUCUUUUGUUACUCUCUAACUCUCUAUAAUUCUCUGACAGACUAUUUCACAAAACAUAUCUUGAAACUAGACAAACCUAUCAAUACAUGUUGUAAUCCAGUCUUUUUAAAGAGGACCACAAACUGAAACACACACAGCCAGUCAUUUCACUCAGAUGAGUUGCAGGCCCCUUAAGCUAUUAUCUGGUCCCUUAUAUAACACACACAGGCUCUGUACUUUGCAGAAGGCUUGUCUGUCUAUGUAAGACAGUGUCUUUGACUUUAACGUGAAUAGAAUUCAUGUGCAUUUGCAUUCAUGUAAUAGCAGAAUUGGACUCUCUUUCUGUACCAUCCUAGCAUGUUAUAGUUAUGGAAUGCAAAGAACUAGUUGACGUGUAUAAUGAUCAACUGUCCUAGUCCACCUGGUACCUAUAAUUUUCUGAGAUACCCUUUCCAUUAUACACCCAAUAUACUGCACAAAAACAGCAGGUACAAUUACAGUAGAGACAAGCUUCUAAAAAUACAUUAAUAAAAGGGUUAACCCCUCCCCUCCAAAAAAUACUUGUCAGUUGAGAGAAGAGAUAACCCUCCAAGAAACUAAAAUCUCUAUACCUGUACUCCAGCAUUCUGACUGUGCCCACAAACUGCCAGCAAUAACAUUUCACAUGGGUGGGAAAAACUGAAUUUGACUUUCCAAGAGACAAAAUGUGUGACAUUGUAGGGAUAACAUAUUAAUGUACUGAAAAUGAUUCCCCCAAAUGGAAGUGACUCCC